AACGAACGCUGGCGGCGUGCCUAACACAUGCAAGUCGAGCGCGAAAGUCCCUUCGGGGGCGAGUAGAGCGGCGGACGGGUGAGUAAUACAUGGAUAAUCUGCCCUCGAGAUCGGGAUAACCCUGCGAAAGUGGGGCUAAUACCGAAUAAGACCACACAACACAAGUUGUGUGGUAAAAGGUGGCUUGAAUUUAUUCUGGCUAUCACUUGAGGAUGAGUCCAUGGCCUAUCAGCUUGUUGGUGGGGUAAUGGCCUACCAAGGCUAUGACGGGUAGCUGGUCUGAGAGGACGACCAGCCACACUGGGACUGAGACACGGCCCAGACUCCUACGGGAGGCAGCAGUGGGGAAUAUUGGGCAAUGGGCGAAAGCCUGACCCAGCGACGCCGCGUGGGUGAUGAAGGCCUUCGGUUGUAAGCCUUCGUGCGGAAGAACAGUCCUGUGGCGAAUACUCGCAGGAUUUGACGGUACCGCCAGGAAGAAGACACCGGCUAACUCCGUCG
rnacentral:rRNA from 1 species